AGAGUUUGAUCCUGGCUCAGAUUGAACGCUGGCGGCAUGCCUAACACAUGCAAGUCGAACGAGGUAGCAAUACCUAGUGGCGGACGGGUGAGGAAUACGUAGGGAUCUGCCCUUAAGUGGGGGAUAACCCGGGGAAACCCGGAUUAAUACCGCAUGAUCUCGAGAGAGCAAAGCAGGGGACCGCAAGGCCUUGCGCUUUUGGAGGAACCUACGUCGGAUUAGCUAGUUGGUGAGGUAACGGCUCACCAAGGCGACGAUUCGUAACUGGUCUGAGAGGAUGAUCAGUCACACCGGAACUGAGACACGGUCCGGACUCCUACGGGAGGCAGCAGUGGGGGAUAUUGGACAAUGGGCGAAAGCCUGAUCCAGCAAUGCCGCGUGUGUGAAGAAGGCYUUCGGGUUGUAAAGCACUUUAAGUUGGGAAGAAAAAGCUCUGGCUAAUAUCUAGAGCCUUGACGGUACCAACAGAAUAAGCACCGGCUAACUCUGUGCCAGCAGCCGCGGUAAUACAGAGGGUGCUAGCGUUAAUCGGAUUUACUGGGCGUAAAGCGUGCGUAGGCGGUUUGAUAAGUCGAUUGUGAAAGCCCCGGGCUUAACCUGGGAAUUGCAGUUGAUACUGUCAGACUCGAAAACGGUAGAGGGAGGCGGAACUCCAGGUGUAGCGGUGAAAUGCGUAGAUAUCUGGAAGAACACCGAUGGCGAARGCAACCUCCUGGGCCUGUUUUGACGCUGAGGCACGAAAGCGUGGGUAGCAAACGGGAUUAGAUACCCUGGUAGUCCACGCCGUAAACGAUGAGAACUUGACGUUGGUUUGCUUAGCAAAUCGGUGUCGUAGCUAACGCGAUAAGUUCUCCGCCUGGGGAGUACGGCCGCAAGGUUGAAACUCAAAGGAAUUGACGGGGGCCCGCACAAGCGGUGGAGUAUGUGGUUUAAUUCGAUGCAACGCGAAGAACCUUACCUGGUCUUGACAUGUCAAGGAGUCUGCAGAGAUGCGGAUGUGCCUUCGGGAACUUGAACACAGGUGCUGCAUGGCUGUCGUCAGCUCGUGUCGUGAGAUGUUGGGUUAAGUCCCGCAACGAGCGCAACCCUUGCCCUUAGUUGCCAUCAUUCAGUUGGGCACUCUAAGGGGACCG
rnacentral:rRNA from 1 species